rnacentral:rRNA from 1 species
UAAGAAUAUUCCGCAAUGGACGGAAGUCUGACGGAGCGACGCCGCGUGGAUGAAGAAGGCCGAAAGGUUGUAAAGUUCUUUUGCUAGGGGAGAAUAAGUGUGGGAGGGAAUGCCUGCACGAUGACAAGGACUAGCGAAUAAGUCCCGGCCAACUACGUGCCAGCAGCCGCGGUAACACGUAGGGGGCGAGCGUUGUUCGGAAUUACUGGGCGUAAAGGGCAUGUAGGCGGCUUGGUAAGCCUGGCGUGAAAGUCUGCAGCUUAACUGUAGGGAUGCGUUGGGAACUGCUUAGCUUGAGUUGCGGAGAGGGAGCUGGAAUUCCUGGUGUAGGGGUGAAAUCUGUAGAUAUCAGGAAGAACACCGAUGGCGAAGGCAAGCUUCUGGCCGACAACUGACGCUGAGGUGCGAAAGUGUGGGGAUCAAAC